AAAAAUGACAUCAUCAAACAUCACUGGCCUGACUUGAGCAGCUCUGCCCGGGGAUGGAGCCAGCAACUUAGCUGCUACCGGUCCGGUCCAGGCUACCUGCAGACCUCCUCCCAGACCUCCUUUUCAGCACCUCCCCUUAACAGGUGAGGUGGUGGAAAUGAUCAGAGUUGCAUUCAACUUGAAUAAAGAUGAGAAACUCUGGUCUGUGGAGCCACUGGUCUGAGGGGAGGACUUCUGUUUAAACCAUGUCCAUUUGGGAUAUUUUCUAGGACAGUAGAGGUGGUGAGCAGUGAUGAAUUCAACUUGGAUAAAGAUGAGAAACUCUGCUCUGGGGAGGAGAGUCACUGACCUUAGAUGGUUUGUUGCCUUGAUAAAGAGGACACUUUCUGGCUUGAGGAGAAUAUAAUGUUUUGUGGAGGAAAUGUGGCUUGAUGACUUAAAGAGGAGGAGGAAUUAUUGGGCGACACUUUUAAUUACCAACGUAACCUCAGUGGAACUGUGGCUUCAUCGAGUUCCAGCUCUAGGCAGACAGCACGUCAGGAAUGCUGUAAGACAUCACAGAGACAGAUGCUUGGCCUUUUCUUGUUCUUGGAGGUUGGCUCUGAUGUUUCAGCCUCUUCUGGAGCUUCCAGCUGCUGGUUCUCUGGCCACUCCUGCUGGUUCUCUGGCCACUCCUGCUGGUUCUCUGGCCACUCCUGCUGGUUCUCUGGCCACUCCUGCUGGUUCUCUGAACGCCACUCCUGCUGGUUCUCUGAACUCCACUCCUGCUGGUUCUCUGGCCACUCCUGCUGGUUCUCUGGCCACUCCUGCUGGUUCUCUGAACUCCACUCCUGCUGGUUCUCUGGCCACUCCUGCUGGUUCUCUGGCCACUCCUGCUGGUUCUCUGACAUCCCCUCCUGGUUCUCUGGCCACUCCUGCUGGUUCUCUGGCCACUCCUGCUGGUUCUCUGGCCACUCCUGCUGGUUCUCUGAACUCCACUCCUGCUGGUUCUCUGGCCACUCCUGCUGGUUCUCUGAACUCCACUCCUGCUGGUUCUCUGGCCACUCCUGCUGGUUCUCUGGCCACUCCUGCUGGUUCUCUGGCCACUCCUGCUGGUUCUCUGAGCCACUCCUGCUGGUUCUCUGGCCACUCCUGCUGGUUCUCUGGCCACUCCUGCUGGUUCUCUGGCCACUCCUGCUGGUUCUCUGAACUCCACUCCUGGUUCUCUGCCCAUGCCUGCUGCCUCCUUGGCCCCUCCUGCUGGCCAUCUCCAGAUCCAACAGGCUCUUGGCUUACCUGUUGGCCUGUGGCCCAUCCGGGCAAUGCCUGACCGUGGUUGGAAUCGUGGCUGUGUUGGGUGGUUGGACACCGGGUGUUGAUUUGAGCAUCAGCCUCCAGAUUCAUCUGUUCCAGGAAUUUUUCCUUCAUCCUCUCCCUCUCAUCCUUCAGUUUCUGAUGAGUCCUUUUUUUAAGCAGGGACUGCUCUCUCCACUGCUUAUUGAAAUCCUCCAACUUCUUCCUUCUCUCCUCAUCCUUCAGCAGCUCCUUCCUCUUCUCCCUCUCUCUCUCUGCCCGGGUCAUGGUGGAUGUUAG
rnacentral:lncRNA from 1 species